AUCUUUAAAUGAGAUUGUAUUGGUCAUUAUCAACGUAAGUGUUAAAAGUACAACAGCCCGAAAGUUCAAUACUAUCGUGUAUUUUGUUUGUUAUGUUUGGCCCAAGCCUCAUUUGACUGAACUAAUGGAACUUGGAUGAAUCUGAAUCCGGACCCUUCAUUUCGAGACAUUACGGUUUUGAAACAGAGACUAUAGACAUACUAAAUGUAAUUUUCGCUAAAACUAACACUGGAAAUUGGAACUAAAAUAAUUGUCUGGAAAGAGUUAACGUUAAGAAAAUAGCAACUGAUCUUCAAACAAUACCUCUCACAUUAGAAGGAAAGUGUUUAUUAAUAAAACUAAAGUUAUUAUUUUAAUUUUUAUUUUUGUGCAAAAUAUUUCCAAUAACAAAAAAUGUAGCCAAAAAAGCAGAUGAACUUGUUGAAAUAUUUGGGUUCAAUGGGAAAAGGGAACUCAAAAUAGAAACCAUUUGUAAACCGAAAUGUUUUGGAAGGUACGAUAUAAUCAAUAUUCCAAUUUUUACAAUGUCAAUGUAUAUAAUGUGUGUUUUUGAAUAUAUAGAAACAAAAGAAAAGAAUGUAAUAUUUUGUGACAGAACUAUCACAUUCAAUUACUUGGAAUAUAUUAUAGGGCUGUGUUUAUUGGACAUGUAGUGGACAUAACGAUCGUUUUGUUCUUUGACACGUUUUGAAGAAAUCGCUUUUCCCUUUGAUUACUUUGAAUAAAAUUAUGCGGUGCUACGUGUCCAUAUAUUUGAGCAUAGCUCUCUUGUUUAGGUCUACCAUUGAAUAAUAGUGUAUUGCAUAGAUUUAGUCCACAUGAGUAUUAUAAAAGUGUGAUUGAUUUUAUAAAAAGUAAUAUUUUGAAUAAUAUGUAUGAUGUCAAGAUGGGCAAACAUAGGCAUAUAUAAUGAAUUUAUAAAAAAGCGGACUGGGGAAAGACUAGUAAUUAUCAGUAACUCAAAUCUUAGUGUAACAUGCUACAACAUUGAUAAUAAAAUUUUGGCAAAGUAUAUUAAGACUUCCAACUAUAAUUUGCCUUGGGAUAUCUUGCCAUUAGAAACAAAGCCAUGGAUUGAAAGAAUAGCAGGGGAUGGAAUGUGUUUAAUAUGCAAUACAGAACCUCAGUUUGUUUCACAUGUUUUCAUGUGAAUUCACACAAAAACUUCACUAUGAUUUCAUUUGUUUAAUUGUAUUAUAGUCAUAUGACUCAUAUAGUAUCAAUUUAUGCAAAGCAUUAUUUUGAAAGGAAAUGUUAAAUUUAUAAUAUUUGCAUUUGCUAAUUUUGUUUCUUUUAUUGUUUUAUAUCAUUGAAAUUAUUAAAAUAACUUAAUUAUGGUAUCGUUGAAUAUUACUAUUGAAACAAACUGGAAAUUUAUGGAACUCCAAAAUUACCAAAUGGAUUAUGGAUGGAAUAUGGACUUAUAUUUACUUUAUACAUUAUUUUUUUAUAUUCAAAUAAAAUCACUCAUUGAGUGAAUUAAUUAUAAAAAAGGAAAUCACUGAAUUAAAGCGGUUGUUAGGAGUAUGAAGGACUUUUUCUACCCAAAUCAGUGUUAAACAACACUCAACAAAUUGCUGAACAAUUGGAAGGAAGGCAUUUCCAAGCAGAAACUGAUACCGAACUGAUGCCAUGGUCCCGUAGCAGUGUAGUCUGAGGAAUGAAGUGAAUUACGAUAUUUAAUGGAAGACUUGAAUGUCAUUUAUGCUUGUGGUUGUGGAGGCACAGUAUGCUGCGAAUAGUGCUCUUGAACAUGACGUGCAAGUGGUACAAGCCAGCCAGAACUUCAUGAAUGCCAAGUUUCAAAUCCAAAUCAAUCUUAAGUUUUGGCAUAAUUGGUACAAAUGUAGUCCAUGCUUGGAUAGUUUCAUUUUGUUUGCAAUACUUGCAAUUCCAUAACCCACCCUCCAUGUUCUUAUCAAUAGGCGAUACCCUCUUCUUGUCUAGGGCAGGGGUGACGCUGGUGGGCCAUGUUAGCGCGACUUAAAAAAGAAUGAAUUGGAUCAUAUCAAGCCUGCCCCAAACAUAAAGCGAGAGAAUCGAAUCCCUAGAAUUUCAAAGAUGAAGCUUACACUGUAUUUAACAAUGGAAUCUAGCCUCAACAAGCGGACGUACGAAUGACUCAAAUAUACCUGAUACUAUCUUAUUAAUCAGGAAUGUAAGAAAUAUCAUCCAAACUCUUUAUAUGUUUUCGCACUUGUGUCUUGAAGGAUGAUCAUAUGGGAGGAUAGCAGAUGCUUUAAUGUACUUCAUCCAGGAAGUUUCAACAGUGGUGAAAGAUAUUUGGAUUAUGAGACAUUGGGUAGCGCUAUGGACAAAACGCAUUCUUGGCAACCAAGUAUAUCAGUCACAACGAAUGGAAUUAUUGGGACUAAAAUUUAUGCAUGUCCUGAACAUUCAACCUGCAGAACUACUAUGGGGUUGGAUGUUUAAACUCAAAAGUCAUCAGCUUUCAUUGUUUCAUCAUACAUUUUUUUGAAUCAUACAACUGAACAUACAAUGUGAAUCAUACACCAUUUAUCAUAAACUGAUCCUGAGGUAUGAAUUUUGUUAUGGUUUGCUGCGGUCUAUGGAAUGGAAGGGCUGGACUUGGACAGUUGACUUGGUGUUGAGUGUUUACACACACUAAGAUACAUAUUUUAUUGAGGAACUAACUGGAAAUAAAAUAGUCUUAUGUUACAAUUGCAUUGUAUAAAUUGAGAAAUUUUUGUUUGAACUGAUUCUAAUUUAUGAUUCGAAAUACCCAGUCCUGGUCAUUCUGUUUUAAUUGGAUUCUAUUUACUUAGGAAUGAGGUGGUAUAUUUGUUCCUGAAAUUCGGAAAAAUUGAACCACUGCAUAGUAUUCAUCUUCUUCUGUGAACUUGUAAGCAGGGACUCGUUGGAGUUGGCUUUGUUAACUGCAUGGUCCUUCGGUCUGCACCGAAAAACAUUGUUCUUAUUUUUUGGUAUUGGUUCUUGUUUUUUUUCCAUGCUUCAUUUUUGUUAACUGAUAUAAUAUAUUUUUAUAAUGCUCAAGUUCAUUGUACAAUGAGUGAUGAACUGUAUAGUUUAUUGUGCAUACCUAAGUGUGAUCUAGUUCUUCUUAAAGUGUGUGUAAAUACUGAUGAAUCUCAGUAGCCUCUAUGUACAAUAAUUAGUAAUUUUUACUGUUUUUUUUAAUUUCCUUGCUUCCUUUCCGAAAAUAAUCAAGGUAUCCAAUGAUGCUUGUACAUCAUGCUCUCCAUUGCCGAAUCUGUGAUAAUAAUAUUUCCUGUCUCUAUUUAAAUUUUCGAUACGUGUCUAUGUCCAAUAAACGUUUUGUGACUGCUGUUAUUCUUUUUCUUGGAAAUGUCCGACUUCAAACAGAAUAUGACCUCUCAAAAUCCUGAAUUACCCUUAUUUACCUUCAUACUAUCUUCAAAUUGCCUGCACAUUUCAUCAUCUUAUUAUGUUAAAGUUAUAUUUAAUCUUAUUUGAUUUAAUCUAUAGUAGCCUAUACUAUGCCAUGAUAUGCUCAUAUACAGCAAAAAUAAAAGGGUUGGGAGCCUAGAUGCCCUUCAUCGGUCCUGCAUACAGGCCCACACAAAACAAUAAUUAUUUACUGUUGAAAUAUUGAUUAUGAUUUUAAUAGUGUUGAAUUUGUCUCUCUCUUCCUGUUUUAUUCGGGUUGAGGAGGAAUAAAUCGAUUUCUCUAUUGACUCGUUAUGCCGGCGAAAUAUGGUCAGGGUUUGGCUAAUUGGUCUGGCGAAAUAGGAUCAGUGUGUGUGUAAUUUGGGCUGGCGAAAUGGUGUCAGAGAUCGUAUCUUUUUUAGAAUUUUUUUAGGCCUCUAGACAAAAGCUGUAAUGGUUAGAAAGAAACUGUUUCUGUACGGGGAAAUAACUUUAAGUGCGAUUUCAAUGCACAGUCACUUGCUACAGAUAAAAGGAUACCUGA